rnacentral:tRNA from 1 species
GGGGCCGUAGCUCAAUUGGCUAGAGCACCUGCUUUGCAAGCAGGAUGUUGAGGGUUCGAGCCCCUUCGGCUCCACCA